AGUGGCGGACGGGUGAGUAACACGUAAGAAUUUGCCUUUAGGAGGGGGACAACAGCUGGAAACGGCUGCUAGUACCCCAUAUGCUUUCGAGUGAAAUGGAUUUCCGCCUGAAGAGAAGCUUGCGGCUGAUUAGCUUGUUGGUGAGGUAAUGGCUCACCAAGGCGACGAUCAGUAUCUGGUUUGAGAGGACGAUCAGACACACUGGAACUGAGACACGGUCCAGACUCCUACGGGAGGCAGCAGUGGGGAAUUUUCCGCAAUGGGCGAAAGCCUGACGGAGCAAUACCGCGUGAGGGAUGAAGGCCUAUGGGUUGUAAACCUCUUUUUUCAGGGAGGAACAAAAUGACGUGUACCUGAAGAAUAAGCAUCGGCUAACUCCGUGCCAGCAGCCGCGGUAAGACGGGGGAUGCAAGUGUUAUCCGGAAUCACUGGGCGUAAAGCGUCUGUAGGUGGUUAAGUAAGUCAACUUGUUAAAUCUUGAGGCUCAACCUCAAAAUCGCAGUCGAAACUGCUUGACUAGAGUAUAGUAGGGGUAAAGGGAAUUUCCAGUGGAGCGGUGAAAUGCGUAGAUAUUGGAAAGAACACCGAUGGCGAAGGCACUUUACUGGGCUAUCACUAACACUGAGAGACGAAAGCUAGGGUAGCAAAUGGGAUUAGAUACCCCAGUAGUCCUAGCUGUAAACAAUGGAUACUAGAUGUU
rnacentral:rRNA from 1 species